rnacentral:lncRNA from 1 species
AUGAGUUUCAAUGGGGCGCCAACACCUGCCAGGUUCUGUGAGAUGCUGAGGCUACGAAGAUCAAGGUAUUUGGCUGCUGUUGGACUCAAGGUUCCCAAAUGCAGUGACUGGUUGUGUUUGUUGGACAUGGGAAUUCACCCCUACAUGAGACUCAGAGGGAUACAGUUUAUGAGAAAUUCCUCUGAUAAAAGUCAAGGCUCCUUCAAGGCGGCUCAGUGCAGGAGACAGGUCUCAGGUGAGCGGGAGAGCCUUCCGCAGGGGGGCUCGGAAGACCACGACUGGAAGAGGAAGCUGCCUCCCACGGAAGCCACCGCCUUGUGCAGGGAGCCGUGGGCCUGUCGAGGACACCCCAGGACCGCUAACCCUACUUCUUGGUUGACUUUGCACCUGAGCGCUGCCCACACCCACCAACUCUGAGCUCCUGGGAGAGGCCGGGAGACGCUGCCGGGGGCCGUGAGUCACGAGUGUAAAGUACGCCCAGGGCCUGGCAGGCAGGUCUGUGCCAGGGUAAGGUGUCAUCAGGUGAAGCCACAAAGGCUGUUUUCCUGGAGCCCCUGAGAUAAAAGAUCCAUCGCCUUUUCUCUCUCCCGCCGCUCCGGGCUUGGGGGCUGCAGGUCCCCGGACAGCGGGGUGGGGGCGUGAACGCGAGUGCGCGCGUGUGCAUGUGUGUGUGUGUGUGUGCGCGCGCGCGCGCGGCCUUCCGGCAGCUGUCCCGGGCCCCGCUCCCCCCCCACCGCCC